AAAAAUAAAACCAUCAUCAUCCUACUAAUAAGCUAAAAUGAUGGUAUUUCAUAAUAAUAUAAAAUAUAAUGGCAAAAGCAAAUUUAGCACAAAAUCACAUAGAGAUUUCUAAAUCAGCAAGCAGAGGAGACCCCAUCCAAACACCAAACUUCCCAUAAUCAUAUUUGAAAAUCUCAUAUUGCCCUCCACUCCACUCUGAUCAGGGGCUGAUGGAGCAGGAGAUAAACCUGAGAAACCACUCGGUGACGGAGCACCCAGAGGUGGUGCAGGAGGACUCAACAAACCAACCGGCGAAGGAGCUGGAGAUGUGGCUACUUUUGUAGUCGGAGUAGGAGCCGGAGCUGAAGCAGGUGGAGUUGCAACCGGUGCAGGUGCCGCUGCCGGUGGAGGAGGAGAUGGAGGUGGAGUGCUCACAGGUGGAGGAGUAGCUGGUGGUGGA
rnacentral:misc_RNA from 1 species